GGAGCACAAUUAAUGAAAUGAAAACUCAUUAGUGAUUGUUUUGCUCCCAUCGAAGAUGUAAAAAAUGUGUAUUUUUGUGUAUUGAUUUUUUCUCACCAUCAACUGUAUACUCUAUUAUUCGAGAACGACCUGCAUUAAUUAAGCAAUACCUCAUGAAAAAUAUCACCUAUAUCUCCUGUCCAAUUAAAGGUAUGGCUAGUAUUCUGAUAAUGUGUGUUAUCAUGUAGUGUUGGGAAAAAGAGCACAAUUAGGUGUGCUGUGCGCACACGCACGCACAUCUCAGUGUGCGGUGUACAUUUCGCACUGUGCGCGCUCUACGCACUGUGCGCGCACCCCGCACUGUGCGCACUCUGCACUGUGCGCGCACUCCGCACUGUGCGCGCACUCCGCACUGUGCGCGCACUCCGCACAUUUCGCACAGUGCGAGCACACUUCGCACGGUGCGCGCACUUUUCGCACACUCCGCACAGUGCGAGCACAGUCCGGACUUUUCGCACACUUCGCACAGUGCGAGCACACUUCGCACAGUGCAAGCUUAACUUGCAUCACUUUGCACUGUGCGAGCACACUUCGUACCAUGGUGGUACGUACACAAAGACCACGACCACACGACCAAUGUCAGCUUUUUCUCUUAGAGUUCAUUUACUCAGCCAUCGGGUUCGUCUAACAGUGGAUGAACUUGGCGGACACCUGACCUCUUCGAAUCCCGAUCGAAAACCCGUUACACAAACACAAGGAUACAACACACCCAGACAAAAAUUUAAAGGCCCCGAAACACAAUAUCAACACAGCGGUCCAUAGCCGAAGAAAUUAUCAGGAAAAAUCGGCUGACAUCAAGCACGCGUUUCUUGAAAACAACUAUGAACUGUGAAGGUCGUAGGUAAACGACGCUCCAGUGGGUUGAGGUUUCUCUUGAAUUUGGCUGAGAUGAAACGUGUCUGUGCUUGUACUCGGAGCCACCGCUUUGCGAUUGUGCAAUAAAACAGACAGCUGGUUUCACGGGAAAACUGUUAUUCGCGUCGCAGGCUUGCGAUAGCAGCGCAUGUUUUGAUGCAAAAAUUACAAUUUUCACUCGGAGCCCUAGUCAAAUUUUGUGAUUAACUGAAGAGAAGACAUGGGACAGGGCAAAAGGGGAGGGGGGGGCGAUGGGCAUGUGUGUGGUAUGAAUGUGUGCAAGCGAUUUAUGGAUCUUUGAUUCGCCCCGACUUGAACUCGUAGCACCAACGGAUCGGAGUCGCUAAUGCUAACUGAUGCUGAUGCUUAAAGGCGGUUUGUCAAAAUAUGCUCAGUACCAUACCACCUGACUUCCUGUAACAUGGUACGAAGUGUGCUCGCACCGUACAAAGUGAAGCACUGCACGAAAUUUGCGAAACAUGCUUGCACUGUGCGAAGUGUGCGAAAAGUGUGGAAUGUGCUCGCACUGUGCGAAGUGUGCGAAAAGUCCGGACUGUUCUUGCACUGUGUGUAAAGUGCGCGCACUGUGCGGAGUGUGCUCGCACAGUAUGAAGUGUGCUCAUACUGUGCGAAAAGUGCGCGCACUGUGCGGAGUGUGCGAAAAGUGCCCGCACUGUGCGAAGUGUGCGAAAAGUGCGGAUUGUGCUCGCACUGUGCGAAAAGUGCGAAGUGCGCGCACUGUGCGAAGUGUGCUCGCACAGUACAAAGUGUGCUGUGCAGUGCGCACAAUGAGGUGUGCUGUGCGCACAGUGCGCACACGCGCACAAUGCCCAACACUAUUAUCAUGUGAAACAGCGUGCGUUCACACUUGGUUAAAAGCUAAAGUUUGCAUCGACAGCAGCGCUUGUUCCUCGGAAAACGCAGGUGUGCUGAUUGUUGAAUUUGCAUGCGACAGCGACAUGGACACGCGCACAAUAGCAAUGAACUCGGCAUUCCCUCACAGGUGUUUCUUCAGGGCACGCCAUUGAAAGGCCUGCGUGCAUCUCUGCGUUGAAGCUCGUGUGUGCAUAGGAAACUUUGUGCGUGCAUUGAGCUGGCGCGCAGUUGUUCUUUUCAAUGGGCGUUUUGUUUCAUGAGCGCGGCAGUAUUCUGUUCUCGAUUUAAAUGGGUAGACGCUCACCUGCUUACUCAUUGAUAGUUUUUAUCCAUACGCAUGUUUUCGCUGCUCAACAACGAUGUAAUUCAUCACGUAUAGAAGCAGAACGCAGGCAGAGCACGGGAUCAGCCGUGUACAAGUUUUUAACCAGCGCGUUCUUGACGGUCCAAGCAAGCAAUGUUAGUAACAAUGGGUCGAGGUAAACAUUGAACCGAAUAUCAGCGCCAUAUCGUAAAGGGAAUGGCGGCUGAUGGCAUUAAGCGCAAAACGAUCGAGUUCUUAAUGGAACGAUCGCGCACUUUUGUGGGAAACGUGCUUCGGACAACCGAAACGUGAUUGAACAACCGAAACGCGCUUGGACAACUGAAAAGCGCAAGUCAACCGGACGUCCUCAGAAGACCACGGUGAAAAAAGACCGUAAAAUCGUUAAUAUAUCGAAGAAACACUGAUCGCGAGGGCGGUGGUCCUGCUUAUUACAACAAAACCCUAACCCAAAACACAAAAAACCACUAACAAAUCUAUCUGAAACGACAUACUUGUGACACAAACACACACACAUGCGCACACACACACAAACACAAACACAUACAAACCACACAUAAACCUGUCCCAACGGUUGCAUGGUGCGUUGAAAAAACCAAUGCCCUAUCAUUAUGUCCGAUACUGUACCAGCACGUUGUUGUUUUUGUCCUCCAUCUAAAAAUGUUUGUUUUAUAGAGUUUCAUAGAGUAUUUAAACGUUUCCUAUGAGUAUUGUUUUACCUUGUGUAUGCAAAUCUAUAUCGACCAGUUAAGCUUUUUUGUCAAACAAUGAGAAGCUCUACACGAAGUGAAUCUAGUGAACAAUACAAUCUCUUAAAUUCUUUGAAUUCAAACGUGACAUUUCAUUUGGCACCGAAAGAAAAUUGAUAUCACAACUUCUUCUUCUUCUUCUUUUGGCUCAACAACCGAUGUCGGUCAAGGCCUGCCUGUACCCACUUGUGGGCUUGGCUUUCAAUGACUAAUUGAUUCCCCCCCCAUAACAGGAUAGUCAGUCCUACAUACGGCGGCGCGGUCUAUUUGGGGAUUGAACCCAUGAUGGGCAUGUUAUUAAGUCGUACGAGUUGACGACUGUACUACGAAACCGGCUAUCACAACUACAUAUGUAAAUACCCUCGUACCUUACCAAUACAUGUAUAUCAAGGUCGGUGCGCGUACACUCACACCCCAAGUAGCAGAGCCGAAGUUGUUGAGAGAUUUUGCUGUGUGCCAAAGCGAGAGGCCCUGUCUUCUCUCUCUAGAUUUUGGACGGCAAACCGCCGCCCGUGCAGAGUUGUGUGCGUGUGACGAAAAAUUAUGGAUGAAAUACGGGGGAAGCGGGGUUUGAAGUCUUUCGUUCGUCACACACACAUGCAUUUACCAGCGGAUAUCGCUGGACCGAGUCUACCCAUCCCUCUCGAUCCACCAUGAUUUUUCUGCUAUCGCGCUCAUCCGGGUGUUAGGCAUCCUCAGUCUGUCCAGAACUUUCCCUGUGGAAGGAUGUACUGAAGUGAGGUGCGAUUUCUUGUGCGACGUACUUUGCUCAUUUACGUUUUGUGCCGUGUUUCUUCUUCCUCAGUUAUGGAAUGAUUUAUCCUAGCAAAUUGUUGAGUUACAGGUGUGUGCGCUAUUUAUCAACGACUACCUGCUAGCCUCGUCAACAAUCUUCAAAGUGAGCGACGGAAAGAAAACGUUUUCCAGUUUUAAAAUAUUAAGAUAAGUGUUGAUCUAAUCCUCUGCGCUAAACUCUCCAUAGUAAUACAUACUACUUACAUUCAUUAUUGCUUCAUUCAGCCCCCGGUGAGGACGUCAUUACUUAACAGAAGCCGGUUCAACACGCGCAGCUCCUGUUCAUGACGUCAUCACGAAACUGAAGCCAGCUGAACACGCGCAGCACGGAUGGUACCCCGAGCGCAGUAGGAGGAAGGAAGAACGAGAGGAGGAAGAACGGUAAAUUUGGAAGGGGGAAAGCGUUAUGCCGUCUACACAGCGGGAGUAUGCCAAAACACAUGUGGGAAGGGAGAGGGAUAUUAUUCAAUAAACAGCAUGCGAAUGUGUGCAUAAAGCAAAUGUGAACACCCUA